rnacentral:rRNA from 1 species
GACGAACGCUGGCGGCGUGCUUAACACAUGCAAGUCGAACGAAGUGGCGAACGGGUGAGUAACGCGUAAUCAACCUGCCCUUCAGAGGGGGACAACAGUUGAAAACGAGUGCUAAUACGGCAUAUUGAGGGGUGGGAUUGCGUGUGAUUAGCUAGUUGGAGGGGGAACGGCCCACCAAGGCGAUGAUCAGUAGCCGGGCUGAGAGGAUGAACGGCCACAUUGGGACUGAGACACGGCCCAGACUCCUACGGGAGGCAGCAGUGGGGAAGCGUCCGCAAUGGACGAAAGUCUGACGGAGCAACGCCGCGUGAGUGAUGACGGCCUUCGGGUUGUAAAGCUCUGUUAAUCGGGACGCGGUACCGGAAUAGAAAGCCACGGCUAACUACGUGCCAGCAGCCGCGGUAAUUC